rnacentral:rRNA from 1 species
AAUGAACGCUGGCGGCAGGCCUAACACAUGCAAGUCGAGCGAGCGGCGGACGGGUGAGUAAUGUAUGGGGACCGCCCGAUAGAGGGGGAUUACUCAUGGAAACGGUGGAUAAUACCGAAGACCGUCGGAUAACCGAUAUGUGAUUAGCUAGUAGGUAAGGUAAUGGCUUACCUAGUCGACGAUCCCUAGCUGGUCUGAGAGGAUGAUCAGCACAACUGGGAGUGAGACACGGCCCCGACUCCUACGGAGGCAGAGGUGGGAAAUAUUGCACAAUGGGCGCAAGCCUGAUGCAGACAUGCCGCGUGUAUGAAGAGGGCUCUAGGGUUGUAAAGUACUUACAGUCGGGAGGCGUUACCGACAGAAGAAGCACCGGCUAACUCCGUGCCAGCAGCCGCGGUAAUUC